AAUAUUAAGAACAUGAUGUUGGUUCAGAUUAAACGCUAAAUAAGGACAUGACACAUGCAAAUUAAACGUUUAUUAUAUAUAAUAUAAUAAAUAUGUAGUGUAUACGUGAGUAAUUUAUAAGGAAUUAUGAACUAUAGAAUAAGUUAAAUGCUUUAUAAAAGAAUAUUAUAUAUUUGUCUAUAGUCAAGCCUAUAAUGGUUUAGGUAGUAGGUUAAUUAAGAGUUUAACCUAGCCAUCGAUCCAUAGUCAAUAAUUAAAGUUAUAAUGACCACGUUGACUUUGAAAUAUAGUCAAUAUCUAAAUGAUACAGCAGUGAGGAAUAUUGAACAAUGAUCGAAAGAUUGAUUCAGUUACUUAUUAGGAUGAUAUAUAAUUAUUUAUUUAUUUAUUUAUUUAUAUAUAAAAAAUAUAUAUAUAUAUAUAUAAAUUGAUUAAAAAUAAAAUCCAUAAAUAAUAAAAAUAAUGAUAUUAAUUACCAUUAAUUAAUAAUAAUGGAUAUAAUUAUAUAAUUUAUUUAUAUAAUUAUAUUUUAAUAGUCCUAACAAAUAUUUGUGCCAGCAGCUGCGGUAAUACAAAGGGGGCUAGCGUUAAUCAUAAUGGCUUAAAGGGUCCGUAGAAUAAUAUAUUUAUUUAUUUAUAUAUUAGAGUUAAUAAAUUUAAUUAAAGAAUUAUAAUAGUAAAGAUGAAAUAAUUAUAAUAAUUAUAAGACUGGUAUAUGUGAAAAUAUUAAUUAAAUAUUAACUGACAUUGAUGGACGAAAGCUAGAGUAGCAAUACGGAUUCGAUACCCGAGUAGUUCUAGCUGUAAACUAUGAACACCAUAAUUUAUUAAAUAAAUAAAUUAUAAAUGAAAAUGUAAGUGUUCCGCCUGAAGAGUACGUUCGCAAGAAUGAAACUCAAGACAAUAGACGGUUACAGACUUAAGCAGUGGAGCAUGUUAUUUAAUUCGAUAAUCCACGACUAAUCUUACCAUAUUUUGAAUAUAUUUAUUAAUAAUCGUUAAUAAUUUUACAGGCGUUACAUCGUUGUCUUCAGUUCGUGCCGCAAGGUCUUAGAUUAAGUUCAUUAACGAACAUAACUCCAUAUAUAUAUAUUAAAUUAUAUAUAAUAUUUAUAUCAUUUUAUAAAAUGAAAGGAAUUAAGACAAAUCAUGAUGAUCCUUAUAAUAUGGGUAAUAGACGUGCUAUAAAAAAAUAAUAAUAAAGUUAUAAAAUAAUAAUAUUAAAAUUAAUAACAUAAAAUAUUUUAAUCUUUAAUAUAUAUAUAUAUUAUAUAUAGUAUGAAUUAUAAUCUGAAAUUCGAUUAUAUGAAAAAAGAAUUGCUAGUAAUACGUAAAUUAGUAUGUUACGGUGAAUAUUCUAACUGUUUCGCACUAAUCACUCAUCACGCGUUGAAACAUAAUAUUAUCCUAAUAUAUAUAUUUAUAUUAAAUUAAUAUAAUAAUUAUUAUAUUUAAUAUAUUUAUUAUAUAUAAGAAAUAUUAUGAAUUAAUGCGAAGUUGAAAUACAGUUACCGUAGGGGAACCUGCGGUGGGCUUAUAAUUUUCUUUAAUAUUCCUCCUUUAUUUAUUUAUUAUUUUAAUAAUUAUUAAAAUAAUUAUACUUUUUAUAUAGUUUGAAAAACUAAUUAUUAAAUAAUGAAUAUAAUAAUAAUUCCAUAUACCCCCCAUCAUAUAUAAUAUGAUGGGGGUAGUUCUAGCUGUAAACUAUGAACACCAUAAUUUAUUAAAUAAAUAAAUUAUAAAUGAAAAUGUAAGUGUUCCGCCUGAAGAGUACGUUCGCAAGAAUGAAACUCAAGACAAUAGACGGUUACAGACUUAAGCAGUGGAGCAUGUUAUUUAAUUCGAUAAUCCACGACUAAUCUUACCAUAUUUUGAAUAUAUUUAUUAAUAAUCGUUAAUAAUUUUACAGGCGUUACAUCGUUGUCUUCAGUUCGUGCCGCAAGGUCUUAGAUUAAGUUCAUUAACGAACAUAACUCCAUAUAUAUAUAUUAAAUUAUAUAUAAUAUUUAUAUCAUUUUAUAAAAUGAAAGGAAUUAAGACAAAUCAUGAUGAUCCUUAUAAUAUGGGUAAUAGACGUGCUAUAAAAAAAUAAUAAUAAAGUUAUAAAAUAAUAAUAUUAAAAUUAAUAACAUAAAAUAUUUUAAUCUUUAAUAUAUAUAUAUAUUAUAUAUAGUAUGAAUUAUAAUCUGAAAUUCGAUUAUAUGAAAAAAGAAUUGCUAGUAAUACGUAAAUUAGUAUGUUACGGUGAAUAUUCUAACUGUUUCGCACUAAUCACUCAUCACGCGUUGAAACAUAAUAUUAUCCUAAUAUAUAUAUUUAUAUUAAAUUAAUAUAAUAAUUAUUAUAUUUAAUAUAUUUAUUAUAUAUAAGAAAUAUUAUGAAUUAAUGCGAAGUUGAAAUACAGUUACCGUAGGGGAACCUGCGGUGGGCUUAUAAUUUUC
rnacentral:rRNA from 1 species